CCCCCAGUAACGGCGAGUGAAGCGGGAAGAGCUCAAGCUUAAWAUCUCCAUACCUGUAUGGCGAAUUGUAGUCUAUUGAGGCUGUUGUCAGCAUCGCGAUUGGGGACAAGUCCCUUGGAAAAGGGCAGCAUGGAGGGUGAUACUCCCGUCUCUGCUCCAAUUUGCGGUGUGUACGAUACGCUUUCUUUGAGUCGAGUUGUUUGGGAAUACAGCUCAAAGUAGGUGGUAAAUUCCAUCUAAAGCUAAAUAUUGGUGCGAGACCGAUAGCGAACAAGUACCGUGAGGGAAAGAUGAAAAGAACUUUGAAAAGAGAGUUAAAGAGUACCUGAAACUGUUGAAAGGGAACCGUAUCGUUUCCAGUGUUGUAUCCUAUGCAUAUUUCAUUCGCGGAGCAAUUUGCGGGUGCCCUGUGCAUGGGUGUGACGUCAGAGUCAGUUUGUAUGCUGCGGGAGAUGGUCAGUGAGGAGGUGCGUCACUUCGGUGAAAGUUAUAUCUCGCUGUCUAGUAGCCGUGGUUGAGACUGAGGUGCCUACAACAUGCCUUAAAGUUCCGUGUUGCCUCGUGUUGAUGACUGCUUUGAUAGCUUGCUAUGUCUGUGGUUUAUGAAUGCGANUGGUGAU
rnacentral:rRNA from 1 species